rnacentral:rRNA from 1 species
UACAGAGGAUGCAAGCGUUAUCCGGAAUGAUUGGGCGUAAAGCGUCUGUAGGUGGCUUUUUAAGUCCGCCGUCAAAUCCCAGGGCUCAACUCUGGACAGGCGGUGGAAACUACCAAGCUGGAGUACGGUAGAGGGGGAUGGAAUUCCGCGUGUAGCAGUGAAAUGCGUAGAUAUGCGGAGGAACACCGAUGGCGAAGGCAAUCCCCUGGACCUGUACUGACGCUCAUGCACGAAAGCGUGGGGAGCAAACAGG